CCUACGGGAGGCAGCAGUGGGGAAUAUUGCACAAUGGGGGAAACCCUGAUGCAGCGACGCCGCGUGAAGGAUGAAGUGUUUCGGCAUGUAAACUUCUAUCAGCAGGGAAGAAAAUGACGGUACCUGACUAAGAAGCCCCGGCUAACUACGUGCCAGCAGCCGCGGUAAUACGUAGGGGGCAAGCGUUAUCCGGAUUUACUGGGUGUAAAGGGAGCGUAGACGGUUGUGCAAGUCAGAUGUGAAAGUCCAGGGCUCAACCCUGGGACUGCAUUUGAAACUGUGCAACUAGAGUGUCGGAGAGGUAAGUGGAAUUCCUAGUGUAGCGGUGAAAUGCGUAGAUAUUAGGAGGAACACCAGUGGCGAAGGCGACUUACUGGACGAUAACUGACGUUGAGGCUCGAAAGCGUGGGGAGCAAACAGGAUUAGAUACCCUAGUAGUC
rnacentral:rRNA from 1 species